UCAGGAGCCGUUCCCGGUGCUCAGGAGCCGUUCCUGGUGCUCAGGAGCCGUUCCCGGGGUCAGGAGCCGUUCCCGGUGCUCAGGAGCCGGUCCCGGGGUCAGGAGCCGUUCCCGGGGUCAGGAGCCGUUCCCGGGGUCAGGAGCCGUUCCCGGUGCUCUGGAGCCGUUCCUGGGGUCAGGAGCCGUUCCCGGGGUCUGGCCCGGUCCCGGGGUCAGGAACCGUUCCCGGUGCCCAGGAGCCGUUCCCGGUGCUCAGGAGCCGUUCCCGGGGUCAGGAGCCGUUCCCGGUGCUCAGGAGCCGUUCCCGGGGUCAGGCCCGGUCCCUGGAGCUGCUCCCGAGUCAGGAUGUGGCUCCCUGGAGCCCCCGACGCCAUUCCCGGGGUCUCUCCCUAAUCCCAUCCCAUGGUCCCAUUAUUACCCCGUUAUUACCCCGUUAUUACCCCAUUAUUACCCCAUUAUUACCCCGUUAUUACCCCAUUAUUAUCCCGUUAUUACCCCGUUAUUAUACCAUUAUUAUCCCGUUAUUAUCCCGUUAUUAUCCCGUUAUUACCCCGUUAUUAUACCAUUAUUAUCCCGUUAUUAUCCCGUUAUUUUCCCGUUAUUAUCCCGUUAUUCUCCCGUUAUUACCCCAUUAUUAUCCCGUUUAUCCCGUUAUUAUCCCGUUAUUUUCCCGUUAUUUUCCCGUUAUUAUCCCGUUAUUAUCCCGUUAUUACCCCGUUAUUACACCGUUAUUAUCCCGUUAUUACCCCGUUAUUACCCCGUUAUUAUCCCGUUAUUACCCCGUUAUUACCCCAUUAUUAUCCCGUUAUUUUCCCGUUAUUUUCCCGUUAUUACCCCGUUAUUAUCCCGUUAUUAUCCCGUUAUUUUCCCGUUAUUACCCCGUUAUUUUCCCGUUAUUACCCCGUUAUUACCCCGUUAUUAUCCCGUUAUUUUCCCGUUAUUACCCCGUUAUUACCCCGUUAUUAUCCCGUUAUUAUCCCGUUAUUUUCCCGUUAUUUUCCCGUUAUUAUCCCGUUAUUAUCCCGUUAUUACCCCGUUAUUUUCCCGUUAUUACCCCGUUAUUAUCCCGUUAUUACCCCGUUAUUAUCCCGUUAUUUUCCCGUUAUUACCCCGUUAUUAUCCCGUUAUUAUCCCGUUAUUUUCCCGUUAUUACCCCGUUAUUAUCCCGUUAUUAUUCCGUUAUUAUCCCGUUAUUUUCCCGUUAUUAUCCCGUUAUUACCCCGUUAUUACCCCGUUAUUUUCCCGUUAUUAUCCCGUUAUUACCCCGUUAUUACCUCGUUAUUUUCCCGUUAUUACCCCGUUAUUUUCCCGUUUUUAUCCCAUUAUUACCCCGUUAUUUUCCCGUUAUUAUCCCGUUAUUAUCCCGUUAUUAUCCCGUUAUUUUCCCGUUAUUAUCCUGUUAUUUUCCCGUUAUUAUCCCGUUAUUAUCCCGUUAUUUUCCCGUUAUUCUCCCGUUAUUCUCCCAUCCCAGCCCCUCCUCCCGGGCCCCGCGGGGCCGUGCCGGGGGCGGAUUUGGGGGCAGAUCCCAGGAAAUGGGCUCGUGCCAGCCCGACGCCCGCGGCCCGCGGCUCGGUGCGGCCGUUCCCGGCGGGAUGAGGCUCCCGGUGUCCCU
rnacentral:lncRNA from 1 species